GAUCAUGGCUCAGGAUGAACGCUAGCUACAGGCUUAACACAUGCAAGUCGAGGGCAGCAUGAACUUAGCUUGCUAAGUUUGAUGGCGACCGGCGCACGGGUGAGUAACACGUAUCCAACCUGCCGAUGACUCGGGGAUAGCCUUUCGAAAGAAAGAUUAAUACCCGAUGGCAUAGUUCUUCCGCAUGGUAGAACUAUUAAAGAAUUUCGGUCAUCGAUGGGGAUGCGUUCCAUUAGGUUGUUGGCGGGGUAACGGCCCACCAAGCCUUCGAUGGAUAGGGGUUCUGAGAGGAAGGUCCCCCACAUUGGAACUGAGACACGGUCCAAACUCCUACGGGAGGCAGCAGUGAGGAAUAUUGGUCAAUGGACGAGAGUCUGAACCAGCCAAGUAGCGUGAAGGAUGACUGCCCUAUGGGUUGUAAACUUCUUUUAUACGGGAAUAAAGUGAGGCACGUGUGCCUUUUUGUAUGUACCGUAUGAAUAAGGAUCGGCUAACUCCGUG
rnacentral:rRNA from 1 species